AUCAGCAGUUGGUCCAUUAAAAGAUAUUACCUUGCCCACCUUUUCUUUCUAAUACCCUUGGAUCAACAUGGCUACAACUACACUGCAUACCUGAAAAGCCACACACAAGAUAGGGUUGCGGGGAAUUAGAUUUAUCUACCUUAUAAAGAUAGAAAGUGGAGUCAGAUGUGCCAAGAUUCAAACCUGUUGUUCCGGAGAGUCUAGGUAUUUCAAAAGAUGAUACUUAAACCAGUAAGGCAUUCCCUUCAGUUAAGAAGCACUUCUUCUAGUUUCACUAUGCAAAGUCACACCUUUAAUAUGCUCUGGUGACUGAACUUGAGUUAGCAGAAGUUCAGCUGCCUGCUAAAUUCAGUUUCCAGUUAGGCAUGUUUCACUUCCAGAGUUAGAUUUUCAUCACUGCAAUACUGCAGUUAACUAGGGUCCAAAGUUUGUACCCAAGAAUGCUUUUUAAAAAAGCACAUCCUCACCCAGAAAAAAAAACAAGAAAACACACCCACAAAUUACCAAUCCUCUUCCCAUCCUACAAUCUUAACAAUGGUUGGAUUUUUUUGUUGUUUGUUUUUUUUUUACAGUUAGCUAUGCAUAGAAAUUUCUCUGGAUUGUAGCUUUUCCAGAAUCACCAAAUGUUCUUAAGCCACUCAUGGUGGCAACACCUCAUGUUUCACAAUAGAUUAGUAGCCAGUUUUAAUUUGUCACAAUUUGCACAGGAAAUGUUGUCAAACAUGACACACUAGGCCAACAAAGUACUACACAGAAAGUUCUGGUGAAUGCUUUCUGUAAAUGAAGCAGAACACUGAUGACUUAGCAGACUUCACACCAACAGGAAGAGCAAAUCUAUAGUACAACAACAUAAGAAUCAAAUAUAUUCAGUUCCCAGAAGCAGAAUACAAGAAAGAUUAGCAUCAUAAAAAAACACCAAUGCCCGCUCUACUGAUUGUCUCUAACCAAGGUGGUUUUUUUUUUAAAACAUACAUGUACUUCUAACACAGCACAAAGAUAGAGGUGAAUACGUGUGGUGAUUAAUGUCUCCCAUCAGCAAACUUAAGACCUUUAAUCCCCCCAGUUCUCCCAUAGCAAUUCCUACUACCACACCACAGUGAUUUUGAAAUCUUGUUUUUUAAAGGCUACUUAUACCAAUCUGAACCAUGGUGAAACAGUAAAUGCUAACUCACUAUUAUGCUUUUCCUCUGUUACUAAUGCUACUAAAAUCAGUGUAUAAAUUGAUAAUCCAUUUGCACUAUAAUAUAUUAAAAGGGCUUUAUCAGACAACCCUAGGACCCAAAUUUAGAAGAAACAUCAAAAAAUACUGUUACUGGUUUUAAAAUCUCAAAUGAAAGUAGUUGCUUUAAAUUUAGAUGGACAGUGACAACUUUAAAUUCACUCAUCUAACACGUAACACCUAAGUUCAUGGAAUUGUAAGAUAAGAGAAGUUAUUUUUGAAGUCUUGUUUAGUUUAUACAUUUUACAGUACUUCAUGUUUAGUUAAGGCCUUCUACAGUACUUCAUGAUAUUUAGUGCCCCUAUCCUUAUAGAAGGUAUAUGAAAGCCAGAGAAACAAACUGGUUGAUAUAUUUUUAUACUACAGACCUAAGGGAAAAACAAACAAACACUGAUGGUGUAAAGUAUUUUUUUUUUAAUUUCCCCUCCACUUGCAAUUAUGUAGGAUGCUACUAGCAAUUAACUUUGGGGAAAAAACCUUUACCGUGUCCCUUUAAUUAGAUAGUUGAUUGCAGGCAGUGCUGUUGAUUUAAGACUAUAUUCUGAAAAGCCUUCCUCACCUAGGCCAAAGAAAGUUGCCUGGAUGUUAUGACCUAUUGAGUUUUUAUUUUUAUGGCAGGGGAAGGGAGUUGUUUGUUUUUUAGAUCACACCCACGGUAGACAAACAUUGCUAUCACAAGUUUGUUCUUGUUUAAUUGGUGAACUGCACCAAGUCACACCAGAGGUUAAACACGUUUACUGGGUCAUUAGUACUAACAACCUCACCACAUACUCAGUCUAGGAGAGUAAACACCCAACUAAAGGAGGAGCAGCUACCCUUCUCUGCACCCCUUCCCAGCGCGGGGGGGGGAGAAGUAGUAGGGCAGAAGCCGCACUGCCGUGUUUCAGGUGAAUGGCUGGAAUGUGAGCCGGGAGGGGAACCCACUACCACUGAGCCGAAUGGCUUCUGCGAGCCUUAGGGGGGACACACUGUAUUGAAACGCCAGCUGUGCAGGUGGCUCUGGAUUCCAGGUACUGGAAGCUGUCCCUUGUCAGUAACAUCAUUGCUAGAAUGUGAAAAGGUUGUCAUCCUGGUCUAAGAGGAUAAUUUAAAAAGGAGAUUAAAGACAUUUCCCCAUUUGAAAAGAGGAACUGACAUAUUGUGAAAUGUGUUGAGAUGGUAAAUCUGAAAGCCAGGACAAAAGGAAUCUUAUCUGGAAUUUAUUUGCAACACUCAAUGGAAAAUAAAUCAAAGAAAUUACUGGAAGUGGCUGCAGAAGAUAUGUAGGUCAAGCAAAGAACAUUUCCUAAACGGGCUCACCGUGAGAGACAAAAAAUUCUUCACAGGCAACAUAAAGUGCUCCAGACUGGUGGAAAGAGUAAAUGGGAAGCAGAACUAACAGAUGGAUAUUUUCAAGCUUGGUCCUGGCACACAGGCAAAUAUUAAGACUUGUUUAAUGAGCUUCUAACGGGCAACUACUUUUAUCAACCAGAUUUUAGCCCUUUCAAAUGGGAAACAGAUACCCCCGAUAUAAAUGUGUUCUGUUAAAAAUGAAUUUCAAUAUGUUUACAAAGAUAAAGAAAACGCAUUUGCCUUGCUAUAGAUUUGGAAUGAUAGCAAAUACUUGUGAAAAAAUUCUGAAAAAGUAAUUGCAUAGUUACAUUCUACACAUCUGGCGAAUACACCGUACAUGUCGGACCUCCCUUGUUGGGCACCCUCAGGACUUUUGCUGGAUCAGGGAAUUUGCGGGAUAUGGGGAGGUCCCUGCCACCGGCCACCCAGGAUACUCCCCCUCCCUGUGGCUGGCUCCACUCUGACCUCACUGCCACUGGGCUCUAGCCUGCAGGGCUUGGACUUGGACUCCGGCCUGCUGAGGCUCCCCAGAGAUCACCAGCUGCCAUGGCUCUGCCUCUCCCGCCCUGCCCCCCCAACCAGGGGAUGGGGUUUGUCAGCUGCCCUGCUUUUGCCACUGGCUGCCCCACGGCUGCCCUGCCCAUCCUGGGCUCCCAAGCAACGGGGCUUUUUGGUCCCGGUCCUGCCCCUCCAGUUGGGGCUCCCCAGGGAUAGGGUCCGCACUCCCAGAUGCUGGGACACUCUGAUCCAGGAGCAUCUAUGGUCCUCCCAGAUUUUGGAGGCUCAACCUGUAGACCUUUUCUAUAUAUUAGAUAUGGUAAAAUAUGCAACCAAAGGGCUUGCACAUACAUUCUUUUCAGUAGAACUGCCAUUAACUAUGGCCCAUAAUUUGGGUCAGUAAUCUUUUCAAAUGCUCUGUAGUUAUGCAGCUAUUGUGCAGACAGAGGGUGUGAUCCUGAAAAGCCUUAUUCAUGUUAAAAUUAUAUAUUUAUAUUCCAACAACACGUAGCUGUUUCAGUUAGGCAAUCUACAGACACAUAGGGUCUUUUCUGAAGUUUUUCUAUUAACUUCAAAAGGCUUCUGAAGAGGCCCUGUGAAAGUGACAGAGUCCCUUCCCUAAAGAUUUUACAGUCCAAACAGCAGGUUAGUGUCUAAGUGAAGAGUAGAAUUCAAAUUGAUUAAUUAAAGUCCGGCAGUAGGACUUACCUUGAGUAGAUAAGUCUUACCUUACUUCAGUGGAUUUACUUGUAUGAUUUAGGCCUAGUUCUAUCAAUAUGCAGCAUCAGGGUCAUAUGGGCCCUCCGUCUUGUUUCUUUGUGUACUGCUGCGGGGAGAUACUGUGCAGAUGCAGCUAUUGGCGACACCCAAUGUGAUUUUUCCCCAUCUUUUUGAUCUCUCCAACUUGGCACACCAGAAUCACGCCAAUCUAGCCACAAAAGGCUUCUCUGAAGCAGCAGACAAGGGGGCUGGAUUUGUCUCAGUGAAAUCUCAGGAUAGAUCCCCUAAGCAUCAACAAUUAUAACUAAACAGCAUGCUAAGCAUAUGUUUAACAUGUUGCUGAGACUGAGUCAUCCUCACCUGGCCUCCAUAAGUUUUUCAUUCUUCCCUUGCACGUCAUUCUCUUUGGUACUCCCUCCCCCCAUUUCUCUUCUCAGGUCAAAACAUUUUUAUUAUAAACAUAAUUUCUGCGAAAGAUGAGAAGCUCUCUACUAUAAUCUUGAUUAAACCUUCAGAGCAAAAGCAGAGGAGAGAAAGGGAGAAGAUGAGUUGAUUACAGACCAAGCCAAUGCUAUGCACUUUGUAACUCCAGGGAGACAUUUUUAAAGACACACUGAAUAAAAUCCAUAAUUAUGUACAACCCUAAAUCUUGUAAGUUUUCUUUCUUUGUAUUUUCCUUCCUACCCUUUCACAUCUUCAAAUUUCCUCUCACUAACACAACCUCCCUGAACAUUUGAGGGGGAGAACAGGACAAUACAUGGAUGUCCCUUAGUCUAGGGGCCAGAUAUUCCAGCUACUUCCCAACUUGGGAGUGGUGUGGUGCAGCAACUAGCAGGGAGCCUGCCAGUGCCACUGAACAGUCAGCAGCCCAGUCAAGAGUGCUUACCAGAGCCACCAGGAUCCCUUUUUGACUGUUCCAGUCCAACACCAGACACUGGUCACCCUACACCAGGGGUUGGUAACCUUUCAGAAGCAGCGUGCCAAGAUUUAAUUUAUUCAUGUCUAUUUGCAAUCUACAGCCAUUGAUAUUUUUAAAUCCAAUAAUAGUCCUACUUACAGUUUAGCAGUUUCAUUAAUCUCACAGAUAGCUUCAACUGUGUGCCACAUCCUUCUUCACCUCUCCUCCUGCACCCACAUCCCUGUGGCCCCAGCACACACACUGGCAGGGCAGCAACGCUGGGACUUGCAGUGCCGGGGCAAGGAGGCCAGGGGGAAGGGCUGAACUUGACCACACGCAGCUUCCCUAGGAGACCAGGAAGAGAGGGCCAAA